CUCCGCCCACACAGACACCACACGCACACGCUUGUCGUCAAGACAUGACGCGAGAAACACAACAUUGAGAGUUAUGUCUUGAUUUGUAAUGAAUCUAAGUAGUGACCCGGACCGCUCUGGUCAGCCAGAGUGUUCGUCUCGCCAUGGUGGCGGACAUAAAGCCACGUCAGGCGUCCAUUUCACCGUCUCCGUGGUUCUUCCAGCCGGGGGAACCGGGGAGAGAACCGGGCUCGUGACACCGAAACAGUUUUACAUGUUUCUUAACAGACCACUCAUAAGCUACACCAUUCAAGCCUUUGAAAGGCUGUCAUGGAUCCAACACAUUGUGGUGGUGGUUGCAGAAGAAAGCAUUGCGCUGAUGACAGACAUCGUCCAGCGCUUUCAGCACACAAAGGUCCGUGUCGUGUCUGGCGGUGCCACCCGGCACAGGUCCAUAUUCAACGGCGUGCAGGCCCUCGACCCGGGCGAGAGCGCUGCAACGCCAGACGUGGUCAUCAUCCAUGAUGCCGUGCGGCCCUUUGUGGAGGAGGACUUCCUGUUGGAGAUUGCCAUGGCUGCAAAGGAGAACGGGGCAUCGGGGGCCAUCCGUCCCCUGGUUUCCACGGUGAUUGCCACCACCUCUGAGGGCUACCUGGACCACUCUCUGGAGAGGGGGAAGUACCGGGCUAGUGAGAUGCCACAGGGGUUCCUCUACUGUGUCAUCCAUCAGGCCUAUCAAAAGUGCAGCGAGUUCGACUUUGACUUUGGAACCGAGUGUCUCCACCUGGCCUUACAGCACACCGGCACCAGAGCCAAGCUCAUCGAGGGCCCGCCAACGCUGUGGAAGGUGACCUACAAGAGAGACCUGGCUGCGGCCGAGUCCAUCAUCAAAGAGACUUUAUGCAGGUCGGCCUGCUUAACCUCCGAUGGCUCCAAGAGGGCCAGGGAGCUGGGGCGGUGUCUACAGAAGCUCAUGGCUUCUUUAGACAUGGAGCUGGACGUGCUCCCAGAACCGAUUGGGGAUGCCAGCCGUCUGUCAAAAGAAUGGAACUUCAUCAAACUUUUUUUGAAUGGUUCCGGUCUUUCUGAAGUAGAGGAAACGGUCAAAGCACUGGAGGCUGCCAACCGAGCACUGCUCCACCCUGUUGUUGUUGUUUGGGUGCGUUUGGAAACUUCAGAUGGCAUGUCCGUCAGUGAGACUGGGGCGGGGCAUCUGCCAUUGAUGGAACUUGCAUCAGCUGCCAAGCUCCAGAAUAUUCUACUCUACGGCAUCCAUUUUCUUCUCUCUGAGCACCGGCUCCCUGGCCCCAUCAGCAGACGCUUGUUUGUCCUUCAAUAACUCUUCAUCUCCUGCGAUCCAACUCUAAACGUGUGGAUUAGUGACAUGGGGGUCCGGCCUCAGUCGUACAUCAGAUGUCUCCAUCCAGACAGAAGCCGGGGCCCCGGGGCCCCCUCCGUGGUGAUGUAUCUGCAGAGUGUUAAGGAGGACGCCGGGUUCUCUGAGGGGUCAGUGAAGCGGUUGGCUGAGCUCACCUACACCUUGAUCCAUGACCGAAACGCCCUCCUGGCCGGGCAGAUACUGUGUGCCUGAAACCAGGGAGCCGUACCGUAACCAUGGUGAUGUUGGACCCUGGAAUGACGUACUAUGGAUAUUUGACAUCUCCUGAAAUGAGCUUCAUGGCUUAAAUCAUGUCCAGCAUGUUGAGCUGUUUUCAUGUUAAACCUCCACAUAUAUAACCACUCAUAGUGUGUAUAUAUAUAUGUGUAUACAUACUCCUAGGGCCCCUUUGGGAAACAUAAAGGUUCAACAAAAAUCCAAAAUUUGGUUUGAUUCUUGAUGCAUUAUCUAGGAGACGAUUGUUGUGGUUAACUUCAUGGGCAUGUAGAUGACUUGACAGGCGUUUUAAUUCAAGUUCUUCCAUUUCAAAACAUCUCUCUCUAAUUCUGAAUAGCUCAGGAAUGUGGCUUGCAAGUGAUUUCUGUACUAAAGAGUACAAACAGAAUUGAGAGGAAGUAUGUGAAACUGUAAAUGUAAAUGUUCACACAUGUAAACAUAUUUACUUCUCAACACUGUAUAAGGUUUAAUUUCCCAAACUGAUACACUAACAUUGUGAAUAAAUAUCACAUGAAAUAAAAUGCUUUUUGGUAAAA